rnacentral:rRNA from 1 species
GUCGAACGAUGAUGCCCAGCUUGCUGGGUGGAUUAGUGGCGAACGGGUGAGUAACACGUGUAGUAACCUGCCCCUGACUCUGGGAUAAGCGUUGGAAACGACGUCUAAUACUGGAUAUGAUCACUGGCCGCAUGGUCUGGUGGUGGAAAGAUUUUUUGGUUGGGGAUGGACUCGCGGCCUAUCAGCUUGUUGGUGAGGUAAUGGCUCACCAAGGCGACGACGGGUAGCCGGCCUGAGAGGGUGACCGGCCACACUGGGACUGAGACACGGCCCAGACUCCUACGGGAGGCAGCAGUGGGGAAUAUUGCACAAUGGGCGAAAGCCUGAUGCAGCAACGCCGCGUGAGGGAUGACGGCCUUCGGGUUGUAAACCUCUUUUAGUAGGGAAGAAGCGAAAGUGACGGUACCUGCAGAAAAAGCACCGGCUAACUACGUGCCAGCAGCCGCGGUAAUACGUAGGGUGCAAGCGUUGUCCGGAAUUAUUGGGCGUAAAGAGCUCGUAGGCGGUUUGUCGCGUCUGCUGUGAAAUCCCGAGGCUCAACCUCGGGCUUGCAGUGGGUACGGGCAGACUAGAGUGCGGUAGGGGAGAUUGGAAUUCCUGGUGUAGCGGUGGAAUGCGCAGAUAUCAGGAGGAACACCGAUGGCGAAGGCAGAUCUCUGGGCCGUAACUGACGCUGAGGAGCGAAAGCAUGGGGAGCGAACAGGAUUAGAUACCCUGGUAGUCCAUGCCGUAAACGUUGGGCGCUAGAUGUAGGGACCUUUCCACGGUUUCUGUGUCGUAGCUAACGCAUUAAGCGCCCCGCCUGGGGAGUACGGCCGCAAGGCUAAAACUCAAAGGAAUUGACGGGG